rnacentral:misc_RNA from 1 species
GCCAUUGUUUUUGGAAGGAAACCUUCCACCAACAGCGUACAAUGUAGUCAAAGAUCAAGAAUACAAGGGAGAGAUUAGAGUGGGCCUCACCUUCACUCCAGAGGAUCGCCAAAACCGUGGUUUCCAGGCAGAGGAGGAAAGCUUCGGAGGAUGGAAGGAGUCUGCAGCAACUUAUUAAGCACCUUGGUUUGGAAAUGGCGAUGAUUGGGCUUGUUUGGCUUUAAAGUUGAUGUGUGUGAGAACUUGUUUUGAGAACCUUUUGAUGUUGAGACAAACUUGGCUUCAUGUAUGGCAUUAGUAAUAGUAAUAAGCUGUUUCCCAUAUGCCCAGAAUUCACAUUAAACAUAUAAUUGCUGCAGCAGAGAAUAAUGCCUCCCUCUUAUGCACACAGAACACAUUUUGAAUCCGGAGCCAAAAGAACAGACAACUUGAAGCAUUGUAGCAAGAAAAAAAAAUAUUGAAUGUUCUUAGGGGAGGAAAUUAUUAUGUUUUCUGGGUGAGCCAGAAACCUAGUUCAGCUGUGUUCUGGAAAUCAUCCAUGCAGAUAGAUUCGUCUAAAAUAAUAAUACUAAUAAUGAAGAAUUUAAAAAGCUUUAGAAAUAAAACAGAAUCAAGAAAACUUCAUAUUUGUUUUCAUGCCUGUCAUAAAAGACAAGUCAUGUUUUCCUUUCAGUAUAAUAUGGCACAUUGAAUCUGUUUUCAUUGCAUGCCUUUCCUCAAUACAGAUAAAUAUGAAACACCUAGAGAGAAAAAAG